UGGUUAAAAAGCUCGUAGUUGGAUCUCGGCGGACUGAGGGCGGUUUGCUUGCUAGUAUUACUGCCCUAUAGUCCGUAGUUUUGCCAGAGGUUUCGGGGUGCUCUUAAUCGAGUGUCCCGGGAUGCUGGCAGGUUUACUUUGAAAAAAUUAGAGUGCUCAAAGCAGGCUAUUACGCCUGAAUAUUCGUGCAUGGAAUAAUAGAAUAGGAAGUCGUUUCUAUUUUGUUGGUUUUCGGAAAUCGACUUAAUGAUUAAUAGGGACAGUCGGGGGCAUUUGUAUUCAAACGACAGAGGUGAAAUUCUUGGACCGUUUGAAGACAAACUACUGCGAAAGCAUUUGCCAAGAAUGUUUUCAUUAAUCAAGAACGAAAGUUAAAGGUUCGAAGGCGAUUAGAUACCGCCCUAGUUUUAACCAUAAACGAUGCCAGCUAGCGAUCUGCGGACGUUUUUUUGUAGACUCCGCAGGAAGCUUCCGGGAAACCAAAGCAUUUGGGUUCCAGGGGAAGUAUGGUUGCAAAGCUGAAACUUAAAGGAAUUGACGGAAGGGCACCACCAGGAGUGGAGCCUGUGGCUUAAUUUGACUCAACACGGGAAAUCUCACCAGGCCCGGACACUGGA
rnacentral:rRNA from 1 species